GCAGCGACAGUUUAAGUUUAAACGUCGGUUUUGUAAUCCGAAGAAUGAAAUAAUAAUUUCUCGUUGCU
rnacentral:tRNA from 1 species